CAGAUCAUGACUUCUACUCUUCCUCUCCCUGCAGUUUGGUGAACGUUACGAGAUGGCUACACUGAGGGAAAGAGUGAGAAGUUCAGUCAAGACAGUGCUCACUUUUCAUAGUGAAUCAGACACCUACGAGACCAAAGUUCACCAGUAGGGGGCCCCAUAUACAUUCAAGUGCUACAAAUUCACCAAACAAACCAUAAAAGACAGUCCAAACCAGGCACGUGUUCACUUACAGUAGACAUCAAA